rnacentral:rRNA from 1 species
CAAGAGCUCAAAUUUGAAAGCUGGCCCCUUCGGGGUCCGCAUUGUAAUUUGCAGAGGAUGCUUCGGGAGCGGCCCCCAUCUAAGUGCCCUGGAACGGGCCGUCAUAGAGGGUGAGAAUCCCGUCUGGGAUGGGGUGCCCGCGCCCGUGUGAAGCUCCUUCGACGAGUCGAGUUGUUUGGGAAUGCAGCUCUAAAUGGGUGGUAAAUUUCAUCUAAAGCUAAAUACUGGCCGGAGACCGAUAGCGCACAAGUAGAGUGAUCGAAAGAUGAAAAGCACUUUGAAAAGAGAGUUAAACAGCACGUGAAAUUGUUGAAAGGGAAGCGCUUGCGACCAGACUCGCUCGCGGGGUUCAGCCGGCCUUCGGGCCGGUGUACUUCCCCGCGGGCGGGCCAGCGUCGGUUUGGGCGGCCGGUCAAAGGCCCUCGGAAUGUAACGCCCCCCGGGGCGUCUUAUAGCCGAGGGUGCCAUGCGGCCAGCCCGGACCGAGGAACGCGCUUCGGCUCGGACGCUGGCAUAAUGGUCGUAAGCGACCCGUCUU